UACGGGGGGAGCAAGCGUUGUUCGGAUUUACUGGGCGUAAAGGGCGCGUAGGCGGCCACGACAAGUCACUUGUGAAAUCUCCGGGCUUAACUCGGAACGGUCAAGUGAUACUGUCGAGCUCGAGUCCGGAAGAGGCGAGUGGAAUUCCUGGUGUAGCGGUGAAAUGCGCAGAUAUCAGGAGGAACACCAAUGGCGAAGGCAGCUCGCUGGGACGUGACUGACGCUGAGACGCGAAAGCGUGGGGAGCAAACAGG
rnacentral:rRNA from 1 species